rnacentral:rRNA from 1 species
ACACGUGGAUAACCUACCUAUAAGACUUGGGAUAACUUCGGGAAACCGGAGCUAAUACCGGAUAACAUAUUGAACCGCAUGGUUCAAUAGUGAAAGGCGGCUUUGCUGUCACUUAUAGAUGGAUCCGCGCCGUAUUAGCUAGUUGGUAAGGUAACGGCUUACCAAGGCAACGAUACGUAGCCGACCUGAGAGGGUGAUCGGCCACACUGGAACUGAGACACGGUCCAGACUCCUACGGGAGGCAGCAGUAGGGAAUCUUCCGCAAUGGGCGAAAGCCUGACGGAGCAACGCCGCGUGAGUGAUGAAGGUCUUCGGAUCGUAAAACUCUGUUAUCAGGGAAGAACAAAUGUGUAAGUAACUGUGCACAUCUUGACGGUACCUGAUCAGAAAGCCACGGCUAACUACGUGCCAGCAGCCGCGGUAAUACGUAGGUGGCAAGCGUUAUCCGGAAUUAUUGGGCGUAAAGCGCGCGUAGGCGGUUUUUUAAGUCUGAUGUGAAAGCCCACGGCUCAACCGUGGAGGGUCAUUGGAAACUGGAAAACUUGAGUGCAGAAGAGGAAAGUGGAAUUCCAUGUGUAGCGGUGAAAUGCGCAGAGAUAUGGAGGAACACCAGUGGCGAAGGCGACUUUCUGGUCUGUAACUGACGCUGAUGUGCGAAAGCGUGGGGAUCAAACAGGAUUAGAUACCCUGGUAGUCCACGCCGUAAACGAUGAGUGCUAAGUGUUAGGGGGUUUCC